rnacentral:rRNA from 1 species
AGCAGCCGCGGUAAUUCCAGCUCCAAUAGCGUAUAUUAAAGUUGUUGCAGUUAAAAAGCUCGUAGUUGAAUUUCGGGGUUCUUCCGUUGGUCAGGCUAACAAGUCUGUACUAGCGUGUAGAAUUCCUACCUUCUGGGGAACCAUCAUGUUAUUAAUUUAGCGUGGUGGGAAACCAGGACCUUUACCUUGAAAAAAUUAGAGUGUUCAAAGCAGGCUUACGUCUGAAUACAUUAGCAUGGAAUAAUAAAAUAGGACGGUGGUCCUGUUUUGUUGGUUUCUGAAUCACCGUAAUGAUUAAUAGGGAUAGUUGGGGGCAUUAGUAUUCAAUUGUCAGAGGUGAAAUUCUUGGAUUUAUUGAAGACUAACUUCUGCGAAAGCAUUUGCCAAGGAUGUUUUCAUUAAUCAAGAACGAAAGUUAGGGGAUCGAAGACGAUCAGAUACCGUCGUAGUCUUAACCAUAAACUAUGCCGACUAGGGAUCGGACGAU